rnacentral:rRNA from 1 species
GGAUGCGAUCAUACCAGCACUAAAGCACCGGAUCCCAUCAGAACUCCGAAGUUAAGCGUGCUUGGGCGAGUGUAGUACUAGGAUGGGUGACCUCCUGGGAAGUCCUCGUGUUGCAUUCC